CCUACGGUGUGCAGCAGUGGGGAAUAUUGCACAAUGGGGGGAACCCUGAUGCCGCGACGCCGCGUGAGUGAAGAAGUAUUUCGGUAUGUAAAGCUCUAUCAGCAGGGAAGAAGAUGACGGUACCUGACUAAGAAGCCCCGGCUAACUACGUGCCAGCAGCCGCGGUAAUAGGUCGGGGGCAAGCGUUAUCCGGAUUUACUGGGUGUAAAGGGAGAGUUGACGGCAGGGCAGGUCUGGAGGGAAAGCCCGGGGGCCAAGCCCGGGACUGCUUUGGAAACUGCCAUGCUAGAGUGCUGGAGAGGUAAGCGGAAUGCGUGGUGUAGCGGUGAAAUGCGUAGAUAGUAGGAGGAACACCGGUGGCGAAGGCGGCUUACUGGACCGUAACUGACGUUGAGGCUCGAAAGCGUGGGGAGCAAACAGGAUUAGAUACCCGUGUAGUC
rnacentral:rRNA from 1 species